AAGUCGUAACAAGGUUUCCGUAGGUGAACCUGCGGAAGGAUCAUUACAAAUCUUUUUAAAGUCCUAAAAAUAUUUUUUUUUUUUGGGACUUUAUAUGUCCGAGGCAGCAAUGCUUCGUUACAUUUACGCUUGUAUGUUUGACAGAGUUAGUGUGAUUUUUUAAUAUAUACAACUUUUAACAAUGGAUCUCUUGGCUCUU
rnacentral:misc_RNA from 1 species